AGGAUUGUAAUUUAUAAAAAAUAUUUAAUUUGCACUUAAAAAAACCCCCUCUCGGGCUGUCUU
rnacentral:tRNA from 1 species